UACGUAGGUCCCGAGCGUUGUCCGGAUUUAUUGGGCGUAAAGCGAGCGCAGGUGGUUUAUUAAGUCUAGUGUAAAAGGCAGUGGCUCAACCAUUGUAUGCAUUGGAAACUGGUAGACUUGAGUGCAGGAGAGGAGAGUGGAAUUCCAUGUGUAGCGGUGAAAUGCGCAGAUAUAUGGAGGAACACCGGUGGCGAAAGCGGCUCUCUGGCCUGUAACUGACACUGAGGCUCGAAAGCGUGGGGAGCAAACAGG
rnacentral:rRNA from 1 species